GGGUCGCUAGCUCAGUUGGUAGAGCAGUUGCCUCUUAAGCAAACGGUCCUGGGUUCGAUCCCCAGGCGACCCA
rnacentral:tRNA from 1 species